rnacentral:rRNA from 1 species
AUGACGCAAGCCCUAGCGGCCAUCACUGAACCACAUGCAAAGCAAUGGUUGUUCACUCUCAUUGAUUCAUUAUCGCAUGAGUUAUUUGUGAAGCUCUCAGUCACGCUCUGGGCAAUUUGGAGGGCAAGAAGGAAAGUUAUACAUGAAGGAAUAUUCCAGAGUCCCCAAGUUAUUCAAGGUUUUAUUACUAGAUAUCUUACUGAAUUGAGUUUGCUGGCAGAACCUCGGGAUCGAAUUCAAAGAGCCCCUACCACGACGAUUGCAACCAACCAGUGUCCCAAACCGCCACCGCCGGGUCACGUAAAGAUUCACGUGGAUGCCGCAUGCAGAAAGGGACUGGGAGGGUCAGUAGCUGCAGUUUGCCGGGACGAGACAGGAGCAUAUAUGGGGAGUUCGGCCCUUGUGAUCGCAGGAGUCGAUGAUCCCGAGGUACUGGAAACAAUUGCAUGUCGGGAGGGGAUGGCCCUGGCCCAGGAUCUUAACAUCAACAACUUAGUGAUUGCAUCAGAUUCAAAGGGUGUGGUCAAGGCAAUCAACAGCAGAAGCCAGGGGAGUAGCGGUGCUAUUAUUUCUGAGAUUCAUAGUAGAGUUCUUAUUUUAAAUUGUGUUUUUACUUUUGAAGGUCGUGCCGUUAAUGUAGAGGCACAUAAACUAGCCAAGCAUGCUUUUCCUUUAGGUCCAGGGCGACACAUUUGGUUGGGCCAACCCCACGACCAGCGAUGUAUUCCACUUGUUGUGGCAUUUGAUGAAUAA